rnacentral:rRNA from 1 species
UGGGGAAUUUUGGACAAUGGGCGAAAGCCUGAUCCAGCAAUGCCGCGUGUAUGAAGAAGGCCUUCGGGUUGUAAAGCACUUUUGUCCGGAAAGAAAUGGCUCUGGUUAAUACCUGGGGUCGAUGACGGUACCGGAAGAAUAAGGACCGGCUAACUACGUGCCAGCAGCCGCGGUAAUACGUAGGGUCCAAGCGUUAAUCGGAAUUACUGGGCGUAAAGCGUGCGCAGGCGGUUGUGCAAGACCGAUGUGAAAUCCCCGAGCUUAACUUGGGAAUUGCAUUGGUGACUGCACGGCUAGAGUGUGUCAGAGGGGGGUAGAAUUCCACGUGUAGCAGUGAAAUGCGUAGAGAUGUGGAGGAAUACCGAUGGCGAAGGCAGCCCCCUGGGAUAACACUGACGCUCAUGCACGAAAGCGUGGGGAGCAAACAGGAUUAGAUACCCUGGUAGUCCACGCCCUAAACGAUGUCAACUAGUUGUUGGGGAUUCAUUUCCUUAGUAACGUAGCUAACGCGUGAAGUUGACCGCCU